rnacentral:rRNA from 1 species
UACGGAGGGGGCUAGCGUUGUUCGGAAUUACUGGGCGUAAAGCGCGCGUAGGCGGCUUUGUAAGUUAGAGGUGAAAGCCCGGAGCUCAACUCCGGAACUGCCUUUAAGACUGCAUCGCUAGAAUCAUGGAGAGGUGAGUGGAAUUCUCGGUGUAGCGGUGAAAUGCGUAGAUAUCGAGAGGAACACCUGCGGCGAAGGCGGGUUGCUGGGCUGACACUGACGCUGAUGCGCGAAAGCUAGGGGAGCGAACGGG